rnacentral:rRNA from 1 species
AACGUAGGAGACAAACGUUAUCCGGAGUUACUGGGCGUAAAGGGCGUGUAGGUGGUUUGUAAGUCUGGCGUGAAAUUUUUCGGCUUAACCGGGAAAGGUCGUCGGAUACUGCAAGGCUAGAGGACGGUAGAGGCGUGUGGAAUUCCGGGUGUAGUGGUGAAAUGCGUAGAGAUCCGGAGGAACACCAGUGGCGAAGGCGACACGCUGGGCCGUACCUGACACUGAUGCGCGACAGCAGUGGGGAGCAAACGAG